rnacentral:lncRNA from 1 species
CUGUGGGACUCGAUCCGGCCGCUCUCCGACGCGACGCAAAUCGCCAGCUCGAGCCACGGCCGCCGAGGAAAGCGAGCGCGUCUCUGCUCAGCCAGAGGGGAUUCGGCGGUGC